CUAACGUAUCGCCAAAUGGUAAGGCAUUAACUUUUGAAGUUAUCAUUUAAAGGUUCGAAUCCUUUUACGUUAGA
rnacentral:tRNA from 1 species